AGUCGAGCGAAGCUUUUCAGUAGUUUACUACAGAAAAUGACUGAGCGGCGAACGGGUGAGUAACGCGUGAGCAAUCUACCUUAGUUACAGGGAUAGCCCGAGGAAACUCGGAUUAAUACCUGAUAUUCUUUAUUUCUCGCAUGAGAAUAAAAGGAAAGGUCAGCCGAACUAAGAUGAGCUCGCGUUCUAUCAGCUAGUUGGUGAGGUAAAAGCUUACCAAGGCUACGACGGAUAGCUGGUCUGAGAGGACGAUCAGCCACACUGGGACUGAGACACGGCCCAGACUCCUACGGGAGGCUGCAGCAGGGAAUAUUGUGCAAUGAACGAAAGUUUGACACAGCGACACCGCGUGUGGGAUGACGGAUCUAGGUUUGUAAACCACUUUCAGGAGGGAAGAAAAUGACGGUACCUCCACAAGAAGCCCCGGCCAACUACGUGCCAGCAGCCGCGGUAAUACGUAGGGGGCGAGCGUUGUCCGGAUUUAUUGGGCGUAAAGAGCUCGUAGGCGGUUCAACAAGUCGGUCGUGAAAGUUCAGGGCUCAACCCUGAAAUGUCGAUCGAUACUGUUGUGACUAGGAUACGGUAGAGGUGAGUGGAAUUCCGAGUGUAGCGGUGAAAUGCGUAGAUAUU
rnacentral:rRNA from 1 species